rnacentral:rRNA from 1 species
UACGGAGGAUGCAAGCGUUAUCCGGAAUGAUUGGGCGUAAAGCGUCCGCAGGUGGCUGUGUAAGUCUGCUGUUAAAGAGUGAGGCUCAACCUCAUAAAAGCAGUGGAAACUACACAGCUAGAGUGCGUUCGGGGCAGAGGGAAUUCCUGGUGUAGCGGUGAAAUGCGUAGAGAUCGGAAAGAACACCAACGGCGAAAGCACUCUGCUGGGCCGACACUGACACUGAGAGACGAAAGCUAGGGGAGCGAAUGGG